rnacentral:rRNA from 1 species
GACGAACGCUGGCGGCGUGCUUAACACAUGCAAGUCGAACGAUGAAGCCUAGCUUGCUAGGUGGAUUAGUGGCGAACGGGUGAGUAAUACGUGAGUAACCUACCUUUAACUCUGGGAUAAGCCUGGGAAACUGGGUCUAAUACCGGAUACGACCAAUCUCCGCAUGGGGUGUUGGUGGAAAGCGUUAUGUAGUGGUUAUAGAUGGGCUCACGGCCUAUCAGCUUGUUGGUGAGGUAACGGCUCACCAAGGCGACGACGGGUAGCCGGCCUGAGAGGGUGACCGGCCACACUGGGACUGAGACACGGCCCAGACUCCUACGGGAGGCAGCAGUGGGGAAUAUUGCACAAUGGGCGCAAGCCUGAUGCAGCGACGCCGCGUGAGGGAUGACGGCCUUCGGGUUGUAAACCUCUGUUAGCAGGGAAGAAGAGAGAUUGACGGUACCUGCAGAGAAAGCGCCGGCUAACUACGUGCCAGCAGCCGCGGUAAUACGUAGGGCGCGAGCGUUGUCCGGAAUUAUUGGGCGUAAAGAGCUUGUAGGCGGUUUGUCGCGUCUGCUGUGAAGGCCGGAGCUUAACUCCGUGUAUUGCAGUGGGUACGGGCAGACUAGAGUGCAGUAGGGGAGACUGGAAUUCCUGGUGUAGCGGUGGAAUGCGCAGAUAUCAGGAGGAACACCGAUGGCGAAGGCAGGUCUCUGGGCUGUAACUGACGCUGAGAAGCGAAAGCAUGGGGAGCGAACAGGAUUAGAUACCCUGGUAGUCCAUGCCGUAAACGUUGGGCACUAGGUGUGGGGAACAUUCCACGUUUUCCGCGCCGUAGCUAACGCAUUAAGUACCCCGCCUGGGGAGUACGGCCGCAAGGCUAAAACUCAAAGAAAUUGACGGGGGCCCGCACAAGCGGCGGAGCAUGCGGAUUAAUUCGAUGCAACGCGAAGAACCUUACCAAGGCUUGACAUAUACUGGACCGCAUCAGAGAUGGUGUUUCCCUUCGGGGCUGGUAUACAGGUGGUGCAUGGUUGUCGUCAGCUCGUGUCGUGAGAUGUUGGGUUAAGUCCCGCAACGAGCGCAACCCUCGUUCUAUGUUGCCAGCACGUUAUGGUGGGGACUCAUAGGAGACUGCCGGGGUCAACUCGGAGGAAGGUGGGGAUGACGUCAAAUCAUCAUGCCCCUUAUGUCUUGGGCUUCACGCAUGCUGCAAUGGCCGGUACAGAGGGUUGCGAUACUGUGAGGUGGAGCUAAUCCCUAAAAGCCGGUCUCAGUUCGGAUUGGGGUCUGCAACUCGACCCCAUGAAGUCGGAGUCGCUAGUAAUCGCAGAUCAGCAACGCUGCGGUGAAUACGUUCCCGGGCCU